GGUCAAGCUACAAAGGGCGCAUGGUGAAUGCCUUGGCAUCAGGAGCCGAUGAAGGACGUGAUAAGCUGCGAUAAGCUUCGGGUAGGCGCACAUAGCCUGAGAUCCGAAGAUCUCCGAAUGAGGAAACUCACAUGGGAAACCCCAUGUAUCAUUAAGUGAAUACAUAGCUUAAUGAAGGUAACCCAGGGAACUGAAACAUCUAAGUACCUGGAGGAAGAGAAAGAAAAAUCGAUUUUCUUAGUAGCGGCGAGCGAAAGGGAAAGAGCCCAAACCGGAAACUUGUUUCCGGGGUUGUGGACAUAACAUAAAAGUGGAGGCUAUUGUAACUGAAGAGAACUGGAAAGUUCCACCGUAGAAGGUAAUAGUCCUGUAAGUGAAACGAGAAGACCACGAGUUAUGAUCCAGAGUACCACGAGACACGUGAAACCUUGUGGGAAGCAGGGAGGACCACCUCCCAAGGCUAAAUACUACCUGAUGACCGAUAGUGAAGCAGUACCGUGAGGGAAAGGUGAAAAGAACCCCGGGAGGGGAGUGAAAUAGAACCUGAAACCGUGUGCCUACAACCGCUCAGAGCCCCUUAUGAGGGUGAUGAGGUGCUUUUUGUAGAACGAGCCAACGAGUUACGGUAUGUAGCAAGGUUAAGUACUUAAGGUACGGAGCCGAAGGGAAACCGAGUCUGAAUAGGGCGACUAGUUGCAUGCCGUAGACCCGAAACCGGGUGACCUAUCCAUGGCCAGGUUGAAGCGAGGGUAAAACCUCGUGGAGGACCGAACCACGUUGCUGUUGAAAAAGCAUGGGAUGAGCUGUGGAUAGCGGAGAAAUUCCAAUCGAACCCGGAGAUAGCUGGUUCUCUCCGAAAUAGCUUUAGGGCUAGCGUCGAGUAUGAGUAGUGGAGGUAGAGCACUGAAUGGGCUAGGGGGCAUAGCGCUUACCGAACCUUAUCAAACUCCGAAUGCCACAUACUUUGAGCUCGGCAGUCAGACUACGAAUGAUAAGAUCCGUGGUCAAAAGGGAAACAGCCCAGAUCGUCAGCUAAGGUCCCAAAGUGUAAGUUAAGUGGGAAAGGAUGUGAGAUUUCUAAGACAACUAGGAUGUUGGCUUAGAAGCAGCCAUUCAUUAAAAGAGUGCGUAAUAGCUCACUAGUCGAGAGAUCUUGCGCCGAAAAUGUAACGGGGCUAAACUUACC
rnacentral:rRNA from 1 species